rnacentral:misc_RNA from 1 species
AAAAAGCAGAACAGUUUCCAAAAGCAGCCCCAAAACGCAAGCCACUUAAACUGUGCCUAAGCCAAUGUUCAAAGAAAGCCCAACGAAGAAUGGUACCUCUAGGUGACAAACUUAGAGUAAUGUAUAACUGAACCAAAGUUUAUGGAAAACUCAGCUAUUCCUAAGCACAGGAAUCAAUCACAUUUGACUCUAAUUACAUAAAAAACGACUAUGAGAACUUAAAGCAUCAGAACAUAGAGACAAAAUUUUCAGAAAAGUUGCCAAAGAAAUAGCAUCAGGAUCAGAA